rnacentral:lncRNA from 1 species
GCAAAUUAGAAUGCAAGGAAGUUGACAUGUCAUCACUUCAUUUUUUUGCGCCUGCGCAUAAAUCUGAGAAGCGUGAGUUUGUCAUCAUUGUUUAUCUAGACAUAGGAUAGGUUGUGUGAAAAUAUUACUGAUGUUUAAUGUUAAAAAUGGACCAAAAGAUUAAUGCUAAGCAACGUUUGACAUGUUUGAACGAACGUAAAUAGAUUAUUUACUAGUUUUUUUAGCUUUUCGGCGUGAUUUUACACCCCCCCCACCACGUUUUGUGGGAGCAUAAUGAACGCUAACUACUUGUUGUUAUUUGGACAUAAAUUAUGAACUUUGUCAAAAGAAACCACAUUUGUUCCGGACCUGGGAAAUCCUGGCAGUGCCUUCUGAUGGAGAUAAUCAAAGAAGUCAACAAAGGAAGACACAUCUUAUUCCCCUGUGAGCAACAAGGAGGCUGACGAAAAAAAUGGCUGCAGCUACGUUGCCUUGACUCCCGUUAUUGACAAGUCUUGAGGAGGGAAUGGGAAGGCUUUAUGGAGAGACAGAUGUAGGAUCUUAAUAUGAACCAGUUUGCUACAGCAGUAAAAUAAUCCUGCUUCAAUAGGAAAUGUGAAUUAUGUGGAUUAUAAUUAAUGGACAUUUUUGUAGGGUUUUUAAAAGUCAAAAAACACAGCAAGUUUGCAAUUCUCAGAAACAAAACAGUGAUAAAAUUACGAUCCUACAUCUGUAUAUCAUAUAUAUCAGUGUGAGUUGCUGUUCAGGGCUGGAUCGUUGUAAAUCAUUGUGGCACUAGUUAGACUACUUUGAUAUGUCUCCGUUGUUUUGUUUUGUUACUUGGUUUAUUUGGAUCUGGUUCAACCCACAAAGUGAGGCUAAUCUUCCCAAAGUCCCUGUUAACUCACAAGGUGGGGCUAAUCUUCCCAAAGUCCCUGUUAACUCACAAGGUGGGGCUAAUCUUCCCAAAGUCCUUGUUAACCCACAAGGUGGGGCUAAUCUUCCCAAAGUCCUUGUUAACCCACAAGGUGAGGCUAAUCUUCCCAAAGUCCCUGUUAACUCACAAGGUGGGGCUAAUCUUCCCAAAGUCCUUGUUAACCCACAAGGUGGGGCUAAUCUUCCCGAAGUCCCUGUUAACUCACAAGGUGGGGCUAAUCUUCCCGAAGUCCUUGUUAACCCACAAGGUGAGGCUAAUCUUCCCAAAGUGUUGACAUACAGUACAUGGCCAAUUUGACCAGCUGUUUCAAACAUUCUAUACAAUAUAAACUGUUUGAUACCUGUUAUUCAACAUUUUGUAAAAAAAAAAAAAAGGCUUUAUAAAUAUAUUUGAUUGAUUGACAGCUCUAAUGCAGUUCCACCCUCAACACCGUCAAAACAACUGCUAUUAGGAUGUUGGCUAAAGUGAACCCUUAAUCUGUAUCUGGGAAACCAGCCCUAGGUGUGUGCCCUAAAGAUGUGUCCUAAAGAUGUGUCCUAAAGAUGUGCCCUAAAGAUGUGUCCUAAAGAUGUGUCCUAAAGAUGUAUCUACAUUAUUCAGGUAUCAUUCCAUUCUCAGGGGCACUAUGCUAGAAACUAUGCACCUUGUGCAUCAUGAGAUGGCUUCAAAAGUGAUUAUUAUUAUGAAACCGUAAAGUGUCAAAGAAGGUCAAGGAAGUGGUGAGAUGCUCUACUGAACAACGAAGGCUAAAUAUUUCAUGUAAUGAGUGUCUUCUUAUUAAUGAAUUUGGAUUCAUAUUAAAACGAACAACAACAAAACAUAUUUGUAACGUUAGCUAUAAUUGUUACAUUUCUACGUAUUUUAUUUGUUCAUGCACUGUUUAAAUUUAUUUUCCAACUUGGUUGGUUGAAUGUUCAAAUUAGUGAACAAAAAUGCCGUCUGACUAUGUUUAUGUUAUUGAACAUAUCCACAAUACCAUCCAUACCUAAUUCAUGGUUCACCUUCACUUUCAACUUGCAUGUGGUGAUAUUUUGCAAGUGAGCAUUUUUAAGUGUUACGUAUCUGAUAUUCCAAAUGUGACAUCUUGCCUACAUUCCUUAGGUGAGACACCUGUACCCCAGUUGGUAUAUUCAUUAGGUGAGACGCCUGUACCCAGUUGGUAUAUUCAUUAGGUGAGACGCCUGUACCCAGUUGGUACAUUCCUUAGGUGAGACACCUGUACCCAGUUGGUAUAUUCAUUAGGUGAGACGCCUGUACCCAGUUGGUAUAUUCAUUAGGUGAGUGUUGAUCUGUAUCGGUCAGAUCUAUUAAAAACAAUACCACAUCAUUGGCUUAUUGCUGCCAUUGUGUGAACGAGCCAACAAACCUAUGGCACUCUGUAUACUGCGUAAAACAUGGACAGGUUUUGAUUGACUGAAUUGUUUCUGAGGCUUUUUGACACGUCAGACAAUUCUCCUGUGCCCUAUAGUGCGGGUGGCCUUCUUGUCUGAAACAAAAGAAUGAAGGCAAUGAAAAUGUGUAAUUUGAAGAUCAGAUCCCUUUAGAAUGUAUUUACAGGAUAGUGUUUUUACUAAUAGAAUAGAGUGUGUACUAAUGUGCAUUUCUGUUAUACAGGGAAGUCCAUAUGUUGUUGUGUUUUCUUUGGUUGAUAUUUUUUUUUGACAGAAAAAUGGACUGAAACUUUUAACUCACGUAUCAGGUUCUGAAUGAUCUAAAUGUAUUAUCAUCACUACAUUAUCUCUACAUUAUCUCUGCAUUUACCAUAGCUGCUGAUGAAACCAUAACUUCAGGUUUUGAUGCAAGGUUGUCAUCCUAAUGGCAAACAUUUUGGAAUCAAAGAUAAACAUGUAUAUCAUACUAAACUACUGGAAUUGUAGACAUUUUGCAGUGAUGUUGAAAGCCAAAUUGUGUAUUGCUUUCUAUUGUGAGCCGUUAAUAGGAGCUCAUUAGCAGACUGUCUAUCUAGAAAAUGUAUUGAGAGAAACGGGCUCCUUGGAUAUCUACAUAUGUUUAUUUUCAAUGGCAUCUCCUAUUGACAUUAUAUACAUUUGUAUUAUUAUGCCUAUAAUAGCCUUUGUGCAACUGCUUAACUGCUAUAGUCCUAUAGUGUAUUAAUGCUUUGUUAAUUGUUGAAAUUGAAAUGGACUUGCUUGAAUGAUUGCUCUUAUUGUAUUGUAAUGACUGUCUGAACGUAGCCUGACAAUGAGUGACGAGGAGUUGGCAUGACAGCGCCAACAAACAUGGCAAUCAGGCUAGUCUGACACCUCAAUGUUGAAAUCAACGCAUCAGAUCACUGAGUUUAACUAUUGAUGCAUUACUUUGUAACCCAGCUGUCUUCUCUUUUCUUUAAGAUAUGCCAAACAAAAGUAGCAGAACUUUUGCUUUCCUAGAUUACUUGUUGUGAAUUUAUUAGAUACUGUUUUACUUGUGACUCACUUGUUUAUGAGAUGCCAUGCUCUUACGUACUCAGUAUUAGUUACUCUGGUUGAAAAAUAGAAAAGCAGCAAUAGAAAUUUAUAGUUUGAAAAAUGAGUAAAUGUUAGCGUUUUCUUCUCUUAUUAUAAGUCUAAUCAGUCAUAUCAUUUCAUAUUUUGAUGUUAAUUUGUCUUUGGACUCUGUAUUUACUCUGUAGCAACCAUGUGCCUUGGUCUGUAAUGGAAUUACAGAACAUUGAAUGAAGAGGGCCUCGUUCACAGGUGGUUGGUGGCACCUUAAUUGGGGAGGACGGACUCGUGGUAAUGACUGGAGCGGGAUCAGUGGAAUGGUAUCAAAUACAUCAAACACAUGGUUUCCAGGUGUCUGAUGCCAUUCCAUUUGCUCCGUCCUGGCCAUUAUUAUGAGCCAUCCUCCCCUCAGCAGCCUCCGCUGGUUUAAUUUCACCCUCAGACUCUAUGGUGCAUUUUGUAAAACAUUAGAAACAGGACAAAAUUGGGAUACAACAACUAUCAGGAGAAUUGUAUAGGUAAAUUAUACACCAUAAAAUCAAAACCAUUCUACAUGUACAACCAUAGACAUCAGUGUACACACACAGCACUACUUGUUUUGUGCUUGAACGCCAUAGAUCACAUGUAAUUAAACUACUUUCCUCAGUCCCAAAGUCCUGUUUUCUGUAAUACAGCUAAAUGCUUUUCAUUGCAGCAGUCAAACAUAAUCCUUACAUUUAUCAUAGUUAUCAUUAUUUUUGGAAUGUAGACUGCAAAAAAGUUACUAAAAUAUUUUUGGGUAAAAAUAAAAUGUUAAACUUAUUUACAAUGAAAUAAAAGCAACC